rnacentral:rRNA from 1 species
AAUGAACGCUGGCGGCGUGGUUAAGACAUGCAAGUCGAACGGUUUUUGUUGUGUAGCAAUACAUAACAAAAGCAGUGGCGAACGGGUGCGUAACACGUGAACAAUCUACCUUCAAAUGGGGAAUAGCUCGCCGAAAGGCGAAUUAAUACCGCAUGUGGUUGCCUCUCGCAUGAGAAGCAUACCAAAGUCAGGGACCGCAAGGCCUGACGUUAGAAGAGGAGUUCGCGGCCUAUCAGCUAGUUGGCGAGGUAACGGCUCACCAAGGCUAAGACGGGUAGCUGGUCUGAGAGGAUGAUCAGCCACACUGGGACUGCGACACGGCCCAGACUCCUACGGGAGGCAGCAGUAGGGGAAUAUUGGGCAAUGGGCGAAAGCCUGACCCAGCCACGCCGCGUGAGUGAUGAA